rnacentral:misc_RNA from 1 species
AUCUGUCAAUGAAGAAUUGUGCAGGGGUCCUGAAAUCGGCCGAGAUGUGUGCCGAUGGGCUUUCGGGAAUCUGGAUAUCGGUUUCUGGAUCGAAGAUUGGUUCAGAAAGAUAGCACCCACCGAGACAGAU